rnacentral:rRNA from 1 species
CAGCAGCCGCGGGAAUACGGAGGAUCCAAGCGUUAUCCGGAUUUAUUGGGUUUAAAGGGUGCGUAGGUGGCCUGUUAAGUCAGGGGUGAAAGACGGUAGCUUAACUAUCGCAGUGCCCUUGAUACUGAUGGGCUUGAAUGAACUAGAGGUAGGCGGAAUGUGACAAGUAGCGGUGAAAUGCAUAGAUAUGUCACAGAACACCAAUUGCGAAGGCAACUUACUAUGGUUUUAUUGACACUGAGGCACGAAAGCGUGGGGAUCAAACAGGAUUAGAUACCCGAGUAGUCCCUGUCUCUUAUAC